GAGAGAGAGAAUCCCAAGCAGGCUCUGCAUUGUCAGCUCAGAGCCCUAGGUGAGGUUUGAACCCAUGAACUGUGAGAUCAUGACCUGAGUCAAAAUCAAGAGCCGGAUGCCUAAUUGAGCCACCCAGGCGCCCCUACCCAGAUAUAUUCUUAACCACUAUUUGAUGCUGUCUUUCCAUGUGCCAGGUGCUGUCUUUAGCUCUACAGAUACAGCAGAGAACAAAGGAGAAUUGGCCUUGCCCAAGUGGAGCUAAAGUCUCUUCUGGAACGUGGAGCACGGAAGGAGACCAAUCUUCCCUACAGACCAAAGAUAAAUUUCUUUUGAAGUACUCUGGAUGGACAAAAAAUCUGUUCAAAAGAUCAAAGGGUGAUGCAACAAGGUCCCUCACUUUUCCAGAAAUCGGUCGUGGACAGAGGUGUUGGCCAGCAAAUUCGGGAAUUUCGGAAAGAUGACCAAGAGCGGCACAGCAGGGAUUCCAAAUACCCUUCGUUGACUCUCAUCAGCAACUAAGGGACCCUGAUAAGGUAUUUUAUCUCCUGUGAUUUAUGCAGAGUGUGCACUUGCUGUUAAUCCUGCUGAACACCGAUUAUUCUGAGGGCUGGAACAGGUGAGACAUUGGUCCCAAACUGUGAGAGGGUGGGCCCUUUAUGCCCUUCAUAUCUGAGUGGAUGAUACAGUGAGGCUCCUGGGCUGCUGGACCCCAGCUCGCCUCAGUA